ACACACAAAUGAUCACUUACAACUGAGGCGGGCCUCUCCAUUGGCUGUCAUUGUUGAAAGUUGAUUAUCUGCCUAUUCCCUUUUUUAAUUUUGUUCCCAUAAAAAGUUACCUUCACAUGAUUCGCGUGAUGUCAAUAAAUAUUGUAACUGUAAUAUUGCUGUGAGAAAACCCCUGAUUAAACAAGAGUUUGAAUUAUGCACACUGAAGAUAAAAGUGAUAUGAAUAUUACUUUGACAUCAUAAAAAAAAACAAGGACACAAAUAAGUUUUGUUCUUUGGUACAUGCUCUGGCAGCAGGACCCUGAGUUAUUUGAGAAGCUUCAUUUAGAAUUUAACCGCUUGUUUGUUAAGAAACAGGAAGCUACACUUUUUAAAGAAGAAGGUUAGCUUUUAUCUUGUUCUUUGCUUGGUGGUGACAUGAGCAGGUUUCACACACUCCUGAGUGCUGAACGGGUCUGACAUCUGAAAACGACAAUGAAGUUACACCUGAGGAUCAUCAUCUUUUUAUUAGUGAUCGUCUCAUCUGCUGAUGUUAAGUUGAAGAGUCACCAGUCAGGCAUUAAGGGAGGAUCCAUCACUUUUCCUGAUCCUUUGGAGAAUGGACUUUUUAUAUUUCAAGGAAGUAGCAUUGCUGAAGUGAAGGACAAAAAAAUAGAUAUAUUGGAGGAAACUUACAAGGACAGACUUUUAUGGAACAACAAAACUGGUCUUUUCACAAUCAGAGGACUAAAGCGGAAUGACUCUGGUGUUUAUGGUAUUGACCCUAAAAAAGGAUUUAGUUCCAUAACAAGUCAUAAACUCAGUGUAUAUGAGUCUGUAGCAGCUCCUGCAGUGGAAGCUGUGAACGUGAGCGCAGAGAGCUGCUCCUUUCUGUGUUUGGUGAAUAAGACUGAAGAGACGACUCUGCUGUGGUACAAAGACGAGGAAAUAAUCAACCAGAGCAGCUCUGCUCUCUCACUGUACACAGACAUGAUGACACAUCAUCUUAUAGAUGUGUGGCAGCCAACCCUGCUGAAAAUAAGACUCUUCAUGUCGAUGUUAGGAACAUCUGUGUGGAACUUAACUCAGGCAGCAAGAGUGAACCCAACACUGGACACUGUGGCAGUAACACACAGUCCUGGUUGUUCCUGACUCCUGUGUUGGUGUUUUGGGUUGCUUUUGCUGUUUGCAUCCUUUUGACAAACAUGAAGAGAAAGCGAAAGAGAGAGACUGACGGCUGAUCUACAAUCAUAUGCAAACAGUCGUGAAAUGUGAGGAAGCUCCAGACUGAGGAUCUGGGCAGGGCUGUUCUGGAGUUUCUGUACACUCUUGCCAGGGAUCCCGAUGAGAAGUGCAUCACAGUAGUCCAGCCUGGAGGAGACAAAGGAGUAGUCAGCGUCUUGGGGGAUGAGUGAGGUUGGUGAUGAGUGGUGAAAGAUGGAUGUCUUGACCAGAGAAGGAAAGCAGUUAUGAGAGAUGACUGAACUUGGUGAGGUGUGCCGACUAGGAUGGCUUCAGUUUUUGAACUGUUUAAUUGGAGGAAGUUUUGACUCAUCCACGACUUUAUGACAUUUUCUAUACUGGAAGAUCUGCUUUUGGCAUCUUUACACCAUCAGCUUGGAAUUUGCUACAAGGCACUUUAAAAAUCAAGGCACUGGUCUCUUAUGGCCAUUUUAGAUCUUUAAUUAUUAACUCCUUUACU